rnacentral:tRNA from 1 species
UGGUGCGCUGGGCCCCGCCGGAGGUGGCCGACGCGUUCUGCGCGUCGCGGCUCGGCGGGGACGGGGGCGCGGUGUUCGGGACGCUGCCGCACAGUC